rnacentral:rRNA from 1 species
GACGAAGGGGGGCUAGCGUUGUUCGGAAUUACUGGGCGUAAAAGCGCACGUAGGCGGAUUUGUAAGUCAGGGGUGAAAUCCCGGGGCUCAACCUCGGAACUGCCUUUGAUACUGCAAAUCUCGAGUCCGAUAGAGGUGGGUGGAAUUCCUAGUGUAGAGGUGAAAUUCGUAGAUAUUAGGAAGAACACCGGUGGCGAAGGCGGCCCACUGGAUCGGUACUGACGCUGAGGUGCGAAAGCGUGGGGAGCAAACAGG